rnacentral:rRNA from 1 species
UACGUAGGGCGCAAGCGUUGUCCGGAAUUAUUGGGCGUAAAGAGCUCGUAGGCGGUCUGUCGCGUCGGCUGUGAAAACUCAGGGCUUAACCCUGAGCCUGCUUCCGAUACGGGCAGACUAGAGGUAUGCAGGGGAGAACGGAAUUCCUGGUGUAGCGGUGAAAUGCGCAGAUAUCAGGAGGAACACCGGUGGCGAAGGCGGUUCUCUGGGCCGAUACUGACGCUGAGGAGCGAAAGCGUGGGGAGCGAACAGG